rnacentral:snRNA from 1 species
AUUCUUGCGCUUGGGGUAGCGUCUCCGGAAAUGAGGGUUAACCGAUCCGAGACUAUUGCUAUUUGAAAACUAUAUCCAAUCCCCCUUCGUGUGGCGAAAGCCUUCGAAGAAUUUCUGGAGCCUUCGGGC